GUCGCGUUUCACAGAAUUUUGUGAGACGUUACCCCCAAAAGACUUCCGGUUUGGAUGGAGACCUUUAAAUUCCUAUACAUCUACCCAGAUCUUCAAUAGAUAUGAAGAGUAUUACUAUCAGCUUUAUUUUUUUUAAUUGUGAACUAUUUUACAGGAUACAUGUAGAUAUUUCAUAGAAAGCUUUUGUUUGAAAUAAAAAAAAAAUGUCGACGUCGAGUCUAAUGCGUUAUUUUGCGGAAACUAUUACGCAUGCGUCAAACUAAACGGAUGUCACAGGAAACGUCAAUAUUUGACAUAUCAAGUUGGCACAUUGAAAGACAGUAGAUGUGUAUCCAUCCAACCAUCUGGUAUCUCGUACCAACACAUAUAACACAAAAAACACACCGCCCAUACACACUAGCACCAAAUAACAAAACUAAAUACACACAAAUUCACCAUGGUGACACAACAAACCCAUGCCUAAACUUGUAAACCAAUAUAGAAACAAACACGAAUACCAAACAGACGCACACGACACAAACAAAUUCAAACCAAACAGACCAGAGCACAAAAGUCUUUUCGUCACCCUUCUCCACCCCGCAGGGGAAAAUGAAGGCGGACCGCAACCGUGCCCGCGUGGAGAACUUUCUUAAGCAGACCCCCACUCAGCGCCGGGAGGCCGCACAGACCCGCCGAGAAGGAAAGGAUCAUGAACGAGGAGGACCCCGAGAGACAGCGCCGCCUCGAGGAAGCGGCUCAGAGACGAGAGCAGAAGAAGAUCGAGAAGAAGCAGAUGAAGAUGAAGCAGAUCAAAGUGAAAGCUAUGUGAAGUCCGUCCGUCACCCUCAACGGCCACGUGUCGCAAAGGACAUUUUUGUCAGGGUCUUAUCAGCAGCACACCUCAGUGCAUCAUGUUUUUGUCUCAGUAUUCUCUACCUGCUUGUAGAUUUAAAAUAUCACGGGCCUCCAUUGAUUUGUAACCAUAGCAUUAAUAUAAUCUUCAGUAACAUUUGAAUUUAUAUCUGCUGUGAGGUUGCAUUCCUGCAGGUUAUUUCUCAUGAAUUUCUGAGCAAAAGUCAAUAAUAAAGUGCACUGGAGUCUG